rnacentral:tRNA from 1 species
UGCCGAGUGGCGAAAUUGGUAGACGCACCAGAUUUUGAUUCUGGCGACGAAAGUCUUGGGGGUUCAAGUCCCUCCUCGGUAG